rnacentral:miRNA from 1 species
CUAUUAGGUUGGUGCAAAAGCAAUUGCCGUUUUUGCCAUUACUUUAAUGGCAUUACUUUAAUGGCAAAAACCGCAAUUGCUUUUGCACAAACCUAAUAUUAG